GCGCUCACUUCAGCAGCACAUACACUAAAAUUGGAGUGAUACGUAGAAGAUUAGCAUGGCCCCUAUGCAAGGGUGACAUGCAAAUUCAUGAAGUAUUCCAUAUUUUU
ensembl:snRNA U6 U6 spliceosomal RNA